rnacentral:rRNA from 1 species
UCAUCCGAACCCUUCGGGGGGACGUUGAUGGAAUGAGCGGCGGACGGGUGAGUAACACGUAAAGAACCUGCCCUCAGGUCUGGGAUAACCACGAGAAAUCGGGGCUAAUACCGGAUGGGUCAUCGGACCGCAUGGUCCGAGGAUGAAAGGCGCUUCGGCGUCGCCUGGGGAUGGCUUUGCGGUGCAUUAGCUAGUUGGUGGGGUAAUGGCCCACCAAGGCGACGAUGCAUAGCCGACCUGAGAGGGUGAUCGGCCACACUGGGACUGAGACACGGCCCAGACUCCUACGGGAGGCAGCAGUAGGGAAUCUUCCACAAUGGACGAAAGUCUGAUGGAGCAACGCCGCGUGAACGAUGAAGGCCUUCGGGUCGUAAGUUCUGUUGUAAGGGAAGAACAAGUGCCGCAGGCAAUGGCGGCACCUUGACGGUACCUUGCGAGAAAGCCACGGCUAACUACGUGCCAGCAGCCGCG